rnacentral:tRNA from 1 species
GGGAAUGUAGCUUAGUUGGUAUAGCACCUGUUUUGCAAGCAGGGGGUCUCCGGUUCGAGUCCGGACAUUUCC